rnacentral:lncRNA from 1 species
CAAAAUUCCUCUGCAAACUGAGGAUUUAAGAUUCCCCAGUGUCAGAUGAUGUAAAAGGCAUGGUCAGAUCAAAAGGUUUUCUUAGGGAAAGAUGUUCUCUACUGUUUCUUAUCCCGUAUAGAAAGUUCAUAUGCAGAAUUGAUUCGUGUAUACAACCUCAAAUAUAUGGUACUCACCUCACCCAUUUGAAUCCCCGAAUUUAACCAUAUUAUGGUUGUUUCAUACUUGAUGAAUCCUUUUUGUUUAUAAAAUGGUUUUGGAAAACUUAUUCUUAAAGGAAAUAAAUUUUAAGAAAUUGACGUGCAAGCACAGUGAAACACCUGUAGGAAGUACUAUAUGGAGAUGUUGUAAUUAUCUUUUAACUUCCCUUUGCUUCAUUUUAUAUUGCAUUUAUUUUGAUUGGAUUUCCAGCUUGUUUUACAUCUGUUCUGACCGUUCAAGGAAUAUUCAAAUGAUAUCUCACUGCACCAAAAUGAAAAAAAUUAUACAGCAUAUUAUCUUACUGCAUAACAGGGAGAUGAUCAACCUGAAGUCUAGAAGAACAAGUGAUAGAGUUCCUGUGUGUAUUAAGGAUCAUGACACAACUUCAUUUCAUUCAAGUAUAGUAGUGAUGCAUAGCCAACGCAUAUAGUUAUAUAUAUAAGUAUAUUGCAACACACACACACAAAAACACACAUAUAUUACAAUAAUUACAUAGCCAUAUAUAGAACUCAAAUUUUGUAGCUGUUGUGUUGAGGUUGCUCAAGACUAAUAUAUAGUUUCUACCUCCAUGGUAGUGGUGGUGGGGACACCAAGUGGAUGGCUGUCAGAAUUGGAAACCAAAGUGAUCAAAAAGUCAAAUAGAUCAGUGGCUAUAACUGCAGAGGUCAAGUCCUCUUUGUGCAAAGUCCUCCUUUUGCCUUGGAUGGCCAUGAUCCAUGACCUUCUAGUAAGUUCCUCAAUGAAGAGCUCACAAGCCUUGGAGAAAAUAAUUGGAGCCUCCCCUGAUAUCAUUUUAACAUCAUCCCCUGACUUCUUCAUGAUCUUCUUGAUCCUUGCCAGGGGCAGAGGGUGGGGUCCUGUCCUUCCUGAUACCCCUCCACACAGUAACCCUGAAUAUGCACCAGCUUGUCUCAUAUCUGUUCUACUUCACUCCUAUGUGCUUCUGAGUUAACUUCAGCUUUAAUGCUCUCUGAUAUACUCUUAGUUGUAGCUUCAGUGUUAUAUACACCAUUUUCAUUGAAUCUUUCAUGGUUUCAUUUCACUCCAAUAACAUGGCCGGCCAAGCCUGCUUUAGCCGACAAAUUGGAGUCUUCGUAAAUAAUAAUGAAUUCUUAAUUAGACUCUUUUACACCAAGACUUUUUAUUCUAUUUAUAUAUUUGUUGCUUGUGUCAAGAAACAUUAGGGAUGAUGACAAGGGUUCUCUUCUAAAAGUAUUUAGCAAUUUUGAAUGGAUUGGUCAAUAAAAGAAAUAUUUUAGGCACAAAUUGAACUUUUGGAGUCAUAAUCCAUCGCAACCAGUUCUGUAAAAUUGUACGUUUUUGGAUAUUUCAAAUGUACAUUCAACUAGUUCUAUAUGAAAUUAGUAUACACCAAGCAACGUAACAACAAAUGAAAGUUCAUUUUAUAUUCAGCAGCAUACUAACUGAUAAAAACAUGUCUUGUGUAAAAGAAAUGAAACAUUAAACAAAAUAUUUGGACGAUAAUCGUGUUGUAAAGUUUUCUAUAUUGUAUUCAACUUUUUUAUAUUUCCAUAUUAGGUACUAGCUUUUGUUGAAACUAGUCAUAUUUUUUGAGAAAUUCCUCCGUUUUAUUUUUGUAUUACAUCUAUGAAUGAUUCAUUACAGUAACUUAUGAAUAAAAAAACAUAUAUAAAUAAAUAAAAGGUUCUUAAGGUAGAAUAUAAUCCAAAUUGGGUAUUACAAAUGGGUAUAAGAAAAAAAGAAGAAGAAAAGUCAUACUUACUUUUACUCUAACUUUUGAUCACUCUAAUUUUUCUGCAACUUAACUUAUUCUAAACCUAAAAUAAUCUCGAAAUUAACCAGAAAUUAAGAUUGAGUCUAUCUAAAGGAGUGAAGUAACAAGCAAUAUAAAAAAAAUUAUCAUUCACUUGUGACCAAAGGUAAAAAUUUAGAAGCAGUUCUGAUACAAUAAUAAUUUGAUAUAACAUGAAUAUAUUGUAUACAGUACAGUUAUUCCAAACAAAAUAAAAAUUAACAUUUAAGCACAUUUCUUGAAGGCAAAGGUAAGUCUUCUAAAUUAACACACAAACAAGAAUUAAAAUUAUACAAGUUUGCUUAUACCAUUUUGUUUUAAUGUAUAAACAUAGUUGCAAUGAAAUUACCAUGACAAAUAUGAAGAAAAAGUAAAUUGUCUUAAUGCACAAUCACGUUUUUUUUACCCUCUCAAAUUUUCUAUGUCCAAACUGCGUGAGUUACAAUCCAGUGAUGCAGUGCGCAAAAUUAUUAUUUUUUUCUUUGAAUUUUUUCAUUUAUUUAUUAUUUUUUUGGGUUGUUGUCUUUCUUUCCAAGGCAAGUAAAAGAAGAUUCUGUUCGUUCCUCAACGGAAAUCGAUUCAGUGCGAAGCGAAAGUGAGUAAGACCUUGUUUAUUGCACUCUCUGCUAAUUUAUGCUCACUUUUUUUUUUCUGCUUACAAAUACUCUAUGUCUAGGGUUUAUCAAUUAAUUCUAUUACUCUGAAUUGUUUAUUCCAGAUUUUUAUUCAAUCUAAUUAUGUUGUGAUGCCAUUCUGAUUAUUGUUCUGGAAUUCGCAGAUUGACUUGUUUGUUACUGUAUUGAUUGAAAUUGUACCAUACAAUGCCAUCGCUGUUUACUUUCAAAUGUUGAGUUGUUAGUGUGCUCAACAAUGGCAGCUGUUAGGGCUUCCUCUGUUAGACGAAUAGGAAGCACAAUCAAGGUUUCUUUCAAUAUGGAAUUAGUUCAGCGCUGUCACUAUCACCAUAGUGUGUGUGUGAACCUUGCAAGGUUGCCAAGUGAUUCACCGAGUCAUCCUUAUUACAAAAGAGAGUUACAGUCUGCUAAGAAUCAGUUCAGUAAUUUGGCUUCUGAAUCAUUUGGAAGCAGUCACCAAUUUGGUACUAGAGCCAAUUUAUCGUUUAAACCUGCAUUCUCUAGCUAUUGUUUUCGGAGUGCCCUUCCUUUUGCUUCCGCGAGCCAUGUGUUGAAUCGCCGAUCUUAUUCGUCGACGGUGGGUGGUGAUAAAGGAAGUAGAGAUGCUGGUACAGAAGUCGCUGCUGGUUCUGGUGCGAGUGACAUGAAUACGACUGGUGAUUCUGUUGUUGGGGGUGAUUGGGCUGAGAGGAUUAAAGAUGCUUUGAAGAGUGUGGUAGAGUCAGCAUCAUAUGCUGGGGAAAAGGUUAAAGCAACAUCUGAUGAUCUCACUCCAUAUGCUCAGCAGUUGCUUGAUUCACACCCAUAUUUAGACAAGGUGGUUAUUCCAGUUGGUGGUACUUUAACUGCUACUCUAAUUGCUUGGUUCUUGAUGCCUAUGAUUUUGAGGAAAUUUCACAGAUAUGCAAUGCAAGGUCCCGUUUCUCUAUUGCCAGCAAGCAUAUCUGGAGAUCCAGUUCCUUAUGAGAAAAGCUUUUGGGGUGCCAUGGAGGAUCCUAUGCGAUAUUUAGUUACCUUCAUGGCAUUCUCACAAAUGUUAGUGGGUUGUAUCUAUACACAUAGUCAUUUUUUAAAUGUGUCAUUUUGUUUACUAUAUUUAUGGUUAUAUGACAGCUAACUUUGAUUUCCAGUGGUGUAAUGGUAGCUCCAACAACUAUAACCGCAGAAUAUCUUGCACCAGUUUGGAGGGGUGCAGUGAUAGUUUCGUUUGUAUGGUUUUUGCAUAGAUGGAAAACAAACGUUUUUGCCCGGACAUUAACCAGUCAAAGUUUACUUGGACUUGAUAGGGAGAAAGUGCUCGCUCUAGACAAAAUCUCAUCUAUUGGUCUAUUUGUGAUUGGUAUAAUGGCUUUUGCUGAGGCUUGUGGUGUGGCCGUGCAAUCUAUUGUUACUGUUGGUGGUAUAGGAGGUAGGUAUUAAAUUAAAUUGAGUCUGUUGAAUUUAAUUUGAGAUUCUUAAUAUUUUUUGGCAUCUCUGUUUUCCCUAUAUCUUUGUUUUUCAUUAAAGUUGAGUGUUGAUGGAAGCCAAAAAGUCUGGUUGAGAUUAGAUUUCGGGAUAGAAAAGCUCCUUAUAAGCAUACAAUUUGGUCGAAAAAUGACACCAUUAGCACUGUGGAAAUUGGUAUUUUAUUAUCUGGUGUGGCAAGCUUCAGUUUGCUUAUAUAAAAAAGGAUCAAAUUUGACAAAAUAAUUUAAAUAAGUUUAGAUUCAUUAAAGUUGAGUGUUGAUGGAAGCCGAAAAGUCUUGUUGAGAUUAUAGAUUUUGAGAAAGAAAAGUUCCUUAUAAGCAUACAAUUUGGUCGAAAGAUGACACCAUUAGCACUGUGGAAAUUGGUACAUUAUUAUCUGGUGUAGCUUCAGUUUGCUUAUAUAAAAAAGGAUCAAAUUUGACAAAAUAAUUUAAAUUAGUUUAUAUUAAGUUGAGUGUUGAGGGAAGCAGAAAAGUCUUGCUGAGAUUAGAUUUUGGGAAAUAAAAAAGUUCCUUGUAAGCAUACAAUUUGGUCGAAAGAUGAUACCAUUAGCACUGUGGAAAUUGGUAUAUUAUUAUCUGGUGUGGCAAGCAUCAGUUUGCUUAUAUAAAAAGUAUCAAAUUUGACAAAAUAAUUUAAAUUAGUUUAUAGUGCUUUGGUUCAUAGUGUUUUUGCAAAUUUUAUUGGGAUAAGUACACCUACUGAAGGAAUUGGUUGGGGUUCUAUUAAUGGUGCUUUGUGUUUGCAAAACAACUCAAAGUGAGAGUAAGCACAGCAUAAGUUGUUUUUAUAAAAAUACACUGCACAACUAGGUAGUUCUAAGGAUUUUGACCUCUAAAAUGAGGGGAGUGUACUUUAGAGAAUAAAGUACAGUAGUAGCUUUUAAUUAGCUAAUCAACAGUUGUGAUUCUAAGUAGAUUCAAAGCUUGUUAUACAUACGCUUGAUUUUAUUACAUUUCUCAACGGUUGAUUUUUCUUUUCUUUCAAUCAACAGUUGCAAAGGCACUUUAUCUUUUAAAGCGCAUCCCUUGACUUUAAAGGAGUUGCAUUCUAAUUUUAGAAUUGUAAAACAAUGAAGAAAGUCAGCUGUAGGAAAAUGAAAAAAAGAGAAUACACACACAUGCAUAUAAAGUAUUUCUUUUGUUCCAUUUAGCAGAAACAUCAGCUAUCCAUUUGAUAAAUAUUAUGUUGCUGACUUGCUCCUCAUUCCUUGACAAGUUUCACUCUUUGUUUUACCAAAAAACAGGGAAUGGAAGAUUUCAUGUUUCUGUCUUUCUUAUGCAGGAGUGGCUACUGCUUUUGCUGCCAAGGACAUUCUUGGCAACGUGUUUAGUGGUUUAUCUAUGCAGUUUUCUAAGCCUUUUUCAAUUGGAGAUACAAUAAAAGUAUGUUGAUUUAGUAGGUGCACAUUAAUGAUUGGUCCUUUCAUGGUAUAAUUUGUUUCCUGAACUGUGGUUUUUUCGCUUAAAUGCCCUCUGUACAGUUAACUUCUUAGGUGUGGAGUGAUAAUUAGAUUUUUACUUCUUGCACAUUAUUAAGUUAAAUAGUCCUUCAUUAUUGGUCCUUUUUUUCAAAUGGCCCAAUAUGUAGUGCAUAUAUGGCUGUAGUUAGUAUGUCCAGCGUUAGAAUUAGUUUUGAAAUGAAAAAUUGGAGGGCCCAAAAUAAAAAAUAAAUUUAGGUGAGUGUUUUGGAGAAAAAGAUACCAUGAGUUUGGAUUGAUUAACAUAUUUCUCAUGAUUUUUUUGUGAACUGCAAAGAGCAUUUCACAUAAUUUGGAAAUCUUGAACUGUUCAUGCAUCAGUGUAGGUCUUCCCCUGGUUAAGUUUCAUGUUUCUUACAUGUGUCUGAGAAAUUGUAAAAAUUGCAGGCAGGCUCGAUAGAGGGUCAAGUGGUGGAAAUGGGUCUUACUACUACGUCUUUGCUGAGUUCAGAGAAGUUUCCAGUUAUUGUUCCAAACUCAUUUUUUUCUAGCCAGGUGGGUCUCUAAGCUCACAUCUUCUGCAGUCACUUAUGCAAUAAAGAGAAGUGGGCCCCACAAUUAAAAUUAGUGAAGCCUACUUCAUUGUUUCUUUCUUUCUCUAAAAUGCAACUAUGCAAAUGACUUUACGAAAGAGAAAUCUUUUCUGAACACUUACGCAUUGCUAAUUUAUUGUUUUGAUCUUUGGCACUACAUUGCUAAGAUAUGCAGCUAGUUGGAAAACUUUUGUUUGUAGUUUGACUUUCCAAGCACUAGUUGAGAAGGCAUAUAUAUAAUUUUCUUGUCUUCCAUCCCAUAAUUCUGAUUACAGCGAGCAGGCAUAAUAUAAUUCUCUUGUCUUCCAUCCCAUAAUUCUGAUUACAGCGACCUUUUUGCUCCUUGUUUUGCAUUACUUUUAGAUGAUAACCUGUUUCCAAGAGAAAAAAUAAAUACCAAUAUAUCAGGGAAGAAGAAAAUGCUGACAUGUGCCUGUGUUUCAAACCAUGUUUCUUUUUCUUAUCGUUAGCAUUUUUUUUUUAUUUCAUUAUUCUUUUGGUCAAAUAAUUUUGUAAUGCAUUGCUAUCACAGCGUGUGCUGCUCCUUCAUGGUCAGGACUCUGUUGGAUGUUGUCUUUAGAGUUUAGAUUUCUCCAGGCAUUUCAUCAGUUUUUAAACUGAAGCCAAGAUAUCUGAUUAAAUUACUUGAUUGCACAUGUGUUUUAAUUUUUAUAAUUCCCUUUGAUUUUGGGGCUUGAAUUUGUGUACUUGAAAACUUCUCUGGAGGAUAUAUAAAUUCAAGGUCACACUUCACGUUUACAUGUUUGCUUUCUGACACACUAUUGAUACGAAGCUAUACCUUAAUUCUAUAGCCAUGUUUCGUGCUUUAGUUUUUCAUGUUGUGAACUUGUGACUAUGAUAUACUUUUUUCCUCAUUCAUUGAAUGACAACCCUCUUUUCAUGAUAACUUUGUAGGUUAUUGUGAACAAAUCCCGUGCUGAAUAUCGUGCCAUUAUAAGCAAAAUUCCUCUGCAAACUGAGGAUUUAAGUAAGAUUCCCCAAAUUUCAGAUGAUGUAAAAAGCAUGCUCAGAUCAAAUGCAAAGGUUUUCCUAGGGAAAGAUGUUCCCUACUGUUUCUUAUCCCGUAUAGAAAGUUCAUUUGCAGAAUUGACUCUUGGAUACAACCUCAAACAUAUGGUACCUCACCCAUUUGAAUCUCUGAAUUUAACCAUAUUAUUUUUGUUUUAU